rnacentral:rRNA from 1 species
CAAGUGUUAUCCGGAAUCACUGGGCGUAAAGCGUCUGUAGGUGGUCAAAUAAGUCAACUGUUAAAUCUUGAGGCUCAACCUCAAAAUCGCAGUCGAAACUAUUAGACUAGAGUAUAGUAGGGGUAAAGGGAAUUUCCAGUGGAGCGGUGAAAUGCGUAGAGAUUGGAAAGAACACCGAUGGCGAAGGCACUUUACUGGGCUAUUACUAACACUCAGAGACGAAAGCUAGGGUAGCAAAUGGG